UUUGAAUUGUGGAGCCCAAAAUUGGACGCAGUACUCCAGCUGCGGUCUAACUAAUGCCAUGUAGAGGGGAAGUAUCCUCUCCUUGGUUCUAUUUGUCAUGCAUCUGCUGAUGUAUGAGAUAGUGUGGUUAGCUUUGCUGAUGAUUUCGUCACACCGACAACUCAUAUUCACUUUGGCGUCCACUGUGACUCCGAAAUCUCUUUCUGCUUCUGUGCUGCUGAGAGGGUCACUUCCUAGCCAGUAGGUGUGCUGGAUAUUUUUGUGCCCUAGG